AAGUCGUAACAAGGUUUCCGUAGGUGAACCUGCGGAAGGAUCAUUAUUGAAUAAGCUUGGUUGGGUUGUUGCUGGCUCUUCGGGGCAUGUGCACGCCUAACACCAACCUUUUACCACCUGUGCACCUUUUGUAGACCUGGAUAUCUCUCGAGGAAACUCCUCGGUAUGAGGACUGCUGUGCGUCAAAGCCCGGCUUUCCUUACAUUUCCGGUCUAUGUCUUUAUAUACACCCUUAGUAUGUCUAUGAAUGUUAUUAUCGGACUUGACUGUCCAAUAAACCUUAUACAACUUUCAACAACGGAUCUCUUGGUUCUG
rnacentral:misc_RNA from 1 species